GAACUUCACCUGAUGUCCUGUAAUAUUCUGCAUACUCAUGUCGUCUGGAAGACCUGUGCUUGGUUGACAAGGUAGGGUCUUUAAAACUACUAGACCUAAGCUUGGUGGGCUUUCCCUCGGGAAAUUUAUCACCGACAGUUGGUACCUGUCUGCUCUCAGAAGCAGGCGCUGGUGCCCUCUGCUUUUGGACUAACGGGGGCUCAACUUGAUCUUCAGGCAUGUUGAGUGAAUCUUUCAAUGGAGUUAGUCCAGGUCUACUAAAGCUCUUGUGUCUAAUGUGCAGUGGAACGACAUAGCCAAAAAGGGAACCCAGAGCCUCUACUGCAAGCUUGGACAAAUCCCAGACAAGCUGCCCAAAUGAUGGCCAUCCUGCUUCCUGUUCUUCUUUAACAAUUUCAACAACAGGAGUGGGCUUCUCCUUGAUUAAAGA
rnacentral:lncRNA from 1 species